UACGUAGGGGGCAAGCGUUGUCCGGAUUUAUUGGGCGUAAAGAACGUGUAGGCGGCCAGGUAGGUCAGCUGUGAAAACUCGAGGCUCAACCUCGAGACGCCGGUUGAAACCAUCUGGCUAGAGUCCGGAAGAGGAGAGUGGAAUUCCUGGUGUAGCGGUGAAAUGCGCAGAUAUCAGGAAGAACACCCGUGGCUAAGGCGGCUCUCUAGUACGGUACUGACGCUGAGACGCGAAAGCGUGGGGAGCGAACAGG
rnacentral:rRNA from 1 species